rnacentral:rRNA from 1 species
UACGGGGGGGCAAGCGUUGUUCGGCAUUACUGGGCGUAAAGGGCUCGUAGGCGGCCAACUAAGUCGGACGUGAAAUCCCUCGGCUUAACCGGGGAACUGCGUCCGAUACUGGAUGGCUUGAGUUUGGGAGAGGGAUGCGGAAUUCCAGGUGUAGCGGUGAAAUGCGUAGAUAUCUGGAGGAACACCGGUGGCGAAGGCGGCAUCCUGGACCGAGAUUGACGCUGAUGCGCGAAAGCCAGGGGAGCAAACGGG